CCUACGGGGCGCAGCAGUAGGGAAUAUUGCUCAAUGGGGGAAACCCUGAAGCAGCAACGCCGCGUGGAGGAUGAAGGUUUUCGGAUUGUAAACUCCUUUUGUUAGAGAAGAUAAUGACGGUAUCUAACGAAUAAGCACCGGCUAACUCCGUGCCAGCAGCCGCGGUAAUACGGAGGGUGCAAGCGUUACUCGGAAUCACUGGGCGUAAAGAGCGCGUAGGCGGGAUAGCAAGUCAGAUGUGAAAUCCUAGGGCUUAACCAUAGAAAUGCAUUUGAAACUGUUAUUCUAGAGUAUGGGAGAGGUAGGUGGAAUUCUUGGUGUAGGGGUAAAAUCCGUAGAGAUCAAGAGGAAUACUCAUUGCGAAUGCGACCUGCUAGAACAUAACUGACGCUGAUGCGCGAAAGCGUGGGGAGCAAACAGGAUUAGAUACCCGAGUAGUC
rnacentral:rRNA from 1 species